UUCCAAGCCAAACAAGGUACUUCCUGGAGUCCUUCGUUUAGGAAGAAUGGAAGAAUGUGACUCAGAAGUUGGAGAGAAAAUCAGACACUUACCAGCAGAAAACCUCGCAGCGCAUAAGCCUUUUCAGAGUUUCCAUGGUUUCAACAAGGCUUACUUCGAGCUCCAAAUUCCAAAACGUGGCUCCAAAUGCAGGAAAAGAAACCUGAAUUCUCAUUUAAUUCAGUAAUGCUCUAAUGCAGUGGUCCCCAGCCUUGGGCCUCCAGAUGUUCUUGGACUUCAAUUCCCAGAA